CCUAAAUGCUCCUGUACGUCACUCUGGAUAAGAGUGUCUGCUAAAUGACUAAAA
rfam:Salmo salar isolate Sally breed double haploid chromosome ssa10, whole genome shotgun sequence.